rnacentral:rRNA from 1 species
GGACCCGCACAAGCGGUGGAGCAUGUGGUUUAAUUCGAAGCAACGCGAAGAACCUUACCAAGUCUUGACAUCCUCUUGACAGGUCCGUAAUGGGACUCUCUCUUCGGAGCAAGAGUGACAGGUGGUGCAUGGUUGUCGUCAGCUCGUGUCGUGAGAUGUUGGGUUAAGUCCCGCAACGAGCGCAACCCUUAUCCUUAGUAGCUAGCAGUUUGGCUGAGCACUCUAGGGAGACUGCCAGGGAUAACCUGGAGGAAGGUGGGGAUGACGUCAAAUCAUCAUGCCCCUUAUGACUUGGGCUACACACGUGCUACAAUGGCGUAAACAAAGUGACGCAAAGCUGUGAAGCCAAGCAAAUCACAAAAAUAACGUCUCAGUUCGGAUUGUAGUCUGCAACUCGACUACAUGAAGCUGGAAUCGCUAGUAAUCGCAGAUCAGAAUGCUGCGGUGAAUACGUUCCCGGGUCUU